rnacentral:rRNA from 1 species
AAAAAGUGGGUAUGAUCUUGGCCCCGCUCGAGCGCGUGCAGAAUGUUUAACACAUGCAAGUCUUCUUUUUUUUUGCUUUUUCAUAAGAGCAAAAAAGAAGAGGCAUACGGGUGCGUAGAAACCGAAAAUUUAUAAAUUUAAAAGUUUUAAAGACUUUAUAUAAAAAUAGAAUAGUCUAUAAAGUUCGGUUUGGAUUAGGUUGUUGGGUCUAUUGUUUGCUAAAAACUUUUGGCGAAAAAAAAUGAGUCUAAAAUUUUUAGAUGUGGUAAAGGCACCCCAAGCCAAGGAUCCAUAGCCUUCCUGAACGGGAGAAAGGCCACAGUGGGACUGAAACAAGGCCCAUCCGCAUUUGCGGCAGCAGUGAAGAAUCUUUGACAAUGGGCGAAAGCCUGAUCAUGCAUUUCUGCGUAAGAUAUGGAAGAAAAGAUUCCAUCGUUCUAAGGGAAGGCAAAUUGUCGGAACCCUUGUUUAUUUUUGGCAAAGAAAAAAAAACUUUGGUCCUUUUUAAAAAAGGAUUUAUAAAAAAUGUUUUUUAAUCUAUAGAAACCAAAACUUUAGACCAAAAAACGUUUUUGAAAAACUAAAAAUAAAAUCCCUGGCAAACUCUGUGCCAGCCGCCGCGGUAAUACAGAGAGGGAGAGUGUUGAGCGAAUGGACUAGGCAUAAAAAGCAGGUAGGUUGUUUGUUAAGUUCUAAGAUUAUUUUUUUGAAAGUUCAAAAAAGAUCUAAGAAAAUAACUUUCUUGAAUAUUUCUAUGGGUAAGGGAAUGGCCCUAGGACUGGUAGAAUAGUAGCAUAAGGGUUGGAACGUCCAAAGCGAAGGCACUUACCUGGGAAAUAAUUGACACUGAGCUGCGGAAGUGUGGAGACCAAAUGAGAUUAGAGACCUCAGUAGCCCACACCGUCAACGAUGAGUGCUUUACAGAUAUUUUUCUGUGAACGCCAAGUGUAGAAGCACUCUGCCUGGGGAGUACCGUCGCAAGGCAGAAACUCAAAAGAAUUGACUGCUAGAGAGAACAAUGGUGGAACAUUGGGGUUUAAUAGAAAACGGAAUUGACAAAGUCAUCUGGAAUACUCCAGAAGCC